rnacentral:tRNA from 1 species
AAAGGGAGACCUAAUUCGGGUAUAAGACGAAAAAAUAGUAGUCGAAACCAAGAAUCAAUCCCAAAAGGUCGGAACGAGGUAUGUGGCUUUCAAACUAGGUUCUGGGUUCAUAAAAGACCUGAAUCAGGAACAAGGGCUAUUAGCUCAGGUGGUUAGAGCGCACCCCUGAUAAGGGUGAGGUCCCUGGUUCGAGUCCAGGAUGGCCCACCUGCACAGGUGGUAAAAACAAGAGAAGCGAGGAAUCAGCACCUUAUCUUACUUACAUAGUAAGAGAGAAUGCUGGCUCUGAGUAAAGAGUCCAGAGGAACCUUGAAAACUGCAUAGAGCUAGGUGAAAAAGCCAAAAAAGAAGACCGCAAG